UACGAAGGGGGCUAGCGUUGCUCGGAUUGACUGGGCGUAAAGGGCGCGUAGGCGGCCAGAUAAGUCCGGUGUGAAAGUCAAAGGCUCAACCUUUGAAUGCCGCUGGAAACUGCCUGGCUUGAGUCCGGAAGGGGCGAGUGGAAUUCCUGGUGUAGCGGUGAAAUGCGCAGAUAUCAGGAGGAACACCGGUGGCGAAGGCGGGAUCCUGGGCCAGUACUGACGCUGAGGAGCGAAAGCGUGGGGAGCAAACAGG
rnacentral:rRNA from 1 species